rnacentral:rRNA from 1 species
GACGAACGCUGGCGGCGUGCCUAAUACAUGCAAGUAGAACGCUGAAGAGAGGAGCUUGCUCUUCUUGGAUGAGUUGCGAACGGGUGAGUAACGCGUAGGUAACCUGCCUGGUAGCGGGGGAUAACUAUUGGAAACGAUAGCUAAUACCGCAUGAUAUUAAUUAUUGCAUGAUAAUUGAUUGAAAGAUGCAAUUGCAUCACUACCAGAUGGACCUGCGUUGUAUUAGCUAGUUGGUGAGGUAACGGCUCACCAAGGCGACGAUACAUAGCCGACCUGAGAGGGUGAUCGGCCACACUGGGACUGAGACACGGCCCAGACUCCUACGGGAGGCAGCAGUAGGGAAUCUUCGGCAAUGGGGGGAACCCUGACCGAGCAACGCCGCGUGAGUGAAGAAGGUUUUCGGAUCGUAAAGCUCUGUUGUAAGAGAAGAACGGGUGUGAGAGUGGAAAGUUCACA